rnacentral:misc_RNA from 1 species
UCUCCGUAGGUGAACCUGCGGAGGGAUCAUUACUGAGUGAGGGCUCACGCCCGACCUCCAACCCUUUGUGAACCAAACUUGUUGCUUCGGGGGCGACCCUGCCGUCCGGCGCGGCGCCCCCGGAUGCUCAUCAAACACUGCAUCUCUUCGUCGGAGUCUUAAUGAAUUUAAACAAAACUUUUAACAACGGAUCUCUUGGUUCUGGCAUCGAUGAAGAACGAAGC